CAAUGCAUUGUGGGAGGACAAUGGCGGCGUUUAGCAGGGGUAAAGAGCUGUAAGACACAUUGAUGCAUCUGACAGCUUCCAAAGGCUUGGAAAGUAGGUUAAUGAUGCAGCUAUAGACAACCCCAUCUUAUGCAUGUUAUGAGAAGUUAAAAGUGUUUAACAACUACUCCAGGCUUUUUCUUUGCAAGAAGGGAUAUUGAUAGAGGGAAGGAGAUCAGAUAUGACUAUGGUGAUCCCAUGCCCAAUGGACAAUCUUCCUUGGAGUUCAUCACUCAUCAGGAAGCAUUUUGGAGGCAAACCCUGUUGCAGCAUUUCUACAUGUUCCACAGAUUGUACAGACUAGUCAGGACCUUGUAAAUUCACAUGUUCAACAGCUUAG